GACGAACGCUGGCGGCGUGCUUAACACAUGCAAGUCGAACGGUGAAGCUCCAGCUUGCUGGUGUGGAUCAGUGGCGAACGGGUGAGUAACACGUGAGCAACCUGCCCCUGACUCUGGAAUAAGCGCUGGAAACGGCGUCUAAUACUGGAUACGAUACGGGUCCGCAUGGGCACUUUCUGGAAAGCUGUUCGGUUGGGGAUGGGCUCGCGGCCUACCAGCUUGUUGGUGAGGUAAUGGCUCACCAAGGCGACGACGGGUAGCCGGCCUGUGAGGGCGACCGGCCACAAUAGGACUGAGACACGGCCCAGACUCCUACGGGAGGCAGCAGUGGGGAAUCUUGCACAAUGGGCGAGAGCCUGAUGCGGAGACGCCGCGUGUGGGAUGACGGCCUUCGGGUUGUAAACCUCUUUCAGCAGGGAAGAAGCGAUAGUGACGGUACCUAAAGAAGAAGCACCGGCUAACUACGUG
rnacentral:rRNA from 1 species